UUAGAGUUUGAUCAUGGCUCAGGAUGAACGCUAGCGGGAGGCCUAACACAUGCAAGUCGAGCGGGAUUGGUAGCAAUACCAUGAGAGCGGCGCACGGGUGAGUAACGCGUAUGCAACCUACCUUUAACAGGGGGAUAGCCCAGGGAAACUUGGAUUAAUACCCCAUAAGAUUACAGAUCCGCAUGGAUUAGUAAUUAAAGCUCCGGCGGUUAAAGAUGGGCAUGCGUGACAUUAGUUAGUUGGUGAGGUAACGGCUCACCAAGACUACGAUGUCUAGGGGUUCUGAGAGGAUGAUCCCCCACACUGGUACUGAGACACGGACCAGACUCCUACGGGAGGCAGCAGUGAGGAAUAUUGGUCAAUGGGCGCAAGCCUGAACCAGCCAUCCCGCGUGAAGGAUGACAGCCCUAUGGGUUGUAAACUUCUUUUCUGUACCAAGAAACAAUCCCUCGAGAGGGGUCUUGACGGUAGUACAGGAAUAAGGACCGGCUAACUCCGUGCCAGCAGCCGCGGUAAUACGGAGGGUCCAAGCGUUAUCCGGAUUUAUUGGGUUUAAAGGGUGCGUAGGCGGAUUUGUAAGUCAGUGGUGAAAUCCUGCAGCUUAACUGUAGAACUGCCAUUGAUACUGCUAAUCUUGAGUAUAGUUGAGGUAGGCGGAAUGAGUAGUGUAGCGGUGAAAUGCUUAGAUAUUACUCAGAACACCGAUUGCGAAGGCAGCUUGCCAAACUAUGACUGACGCUGAUGCACGAAAGCGUGGGGAUCGAACAGGAUUAGAUACCCUGGUAGUCCACGCCGUAAACGAUGCUCACUCGCUGUUUGCGAUACACAGUAAGCGGCCAAGCGAAAGUUUUAAGUGAGCCACCUGGGGAGUACGAUCGCAAGGUUGAAACUCAAAGGAAUUGACGGGGGCCCGCACAAGCGGAGGAACAUGUGGUUUAAUUCGAUGAUACGCGAGGAACCUUACCUGGGCUUAAAUGUAGAUUGCAUGAUGUAGAAAUACACUUCCCUUCGGGGCUAUUUACAAGGUGCUGCAUGGUUGUCGUCAGCUCGUGCCGUGAGGUGUCGGGUUAAGUCCCAUAACGAGCGCAACCCUUAUCGUUAGUUGCCAGCGGGUCAUGCCGGGGACUCUAGCGAGACUGCCACCGUAAGGUGAGAGGAAGGUGGGGA
rnacentral:rRNA from 1 species